UAGGGAAUCUUCCACAAUGGGCGAAAGCCUGAUGGAGCAACGCCGCGUGUGUGAUGAAGGGUUUCGGCUCGUAAAACGCUGUUGUAAGAGAAGAGUGUCAUUGAGAGUAACUGUUCAAUGUGUGACGGUAUCUUACCAGAAAGGAACGGCUAAAUACGUGUCAG
rnacentral:rRNA from 1 species